ACUCAAAUGAAUUGACGGGGGCCCGCACAAGCAGCGGAGCGUGUGGUUUAAUUCGAUGCAACGCGCAGAACCUUACCUCGGCUUGACAUGCAUGUGGUACCAACCCGUAAGGGAAGGGACCCGCGAGGGAGCAUGCACAGAUGCUGCAUGGCUGUCGUCAGCUCGUGCCGUGAGGUGUUGGGUUAAGUCCCGCAACGAGCGCAACCCUUGUCCUUAGUUAAAAUGUCUAAGGAGACCGCCGGUCUAAACCGGAGGAAGGUGGGGAUGACGUCAAGUCAGCACGGCUCUUACGUCGAGGGCUACACACACGCUACAAUGGCCGGUACAACGGGCUGCCAAGGGGCGACCUGGAGCUAAUCCCACCAAAGCCGGUCUCAGUUCGGAUCGCAGGCUGCAACUCGCCUGCGUGAAGUCGGAGUUGCUAGUAACUGCUGGUCAGCACACACCGCCCGU
rnacentral:rRNA from 1 species